UUUAGUUUUAAAGCUAUACUAGAUGGAGUAAUAAACAGACAAAAUUAAUUCCAGGUUGGAGGUUAAUCAUUGAAAUUAAUGAGCUUGAUGACAAUUAAGAGCACUUAAACAUCGAAGCCAUCAGUGAAGCUGAUUGAGAAUAGCUGUAAAGCAGUAAGUAGCAGUACUGCUUGAUUAAGUUUCUGAAAGAGGUAUUUGAUUUGGUUCUAGUCUUGGAUGAUCACUCCAUAUGGCUAUGAUUUGUUUUUGGAACUAUUUUAGCCCUUUUCCUCUUUGCUGUUAAUGGAGAGAAAUCAGGACCAUCCUUGCUUUCCUGCAAUGACUGAGUCUGGCUCUAAUGGCAAAUUUUGUGUAAGUCUAAAAUGUAGUCAUGUCAAAAUCUACAGCUGUAUCUGCUACGUUUGACAUUGAUCUCGGCAUCCUUCUUCAACGGCACCUCAAUUGCAAGCAAGGCAGUCUAUGUUCUGGAUGGCAGCCAGUGACCCAACAAAGUGAUGCUGAAUCUCCAUACAAACCAGAAUGGACUGGAUGCUUUCUCCCUCACCACUGCUAACUUUCCUAAAGCCAAUCUGAAUUAUCUUAUCCUUUUUAUAAACUCUUGCAAG
ensembl:lncRNA